rnacentral:lncRNA from 1 species
CUGGAGCCAUGGGACUAUGAUUUCAGCCUGGGUGAGCCAAGGGCAUUGGACCCAGCCCAACAGAUCUGUGGGACCCCAGCAGAAGGCUAAGGCAGAGAGCCACUGUGGGACCAUCUCUACCAAGCCAGAGGACUGACAUUACCACUGUAGUAGGCCUGGAAGACGGAGUAGCGUGCCAAAGAGGAUUAUUUUUGAGCCUCAAAAGAUCAUUAUCUCAGAAGGAAGCCAGUUGCCAUAUUAUGAGAACACUCAAGAAACCCUAUGGGGAAACCCAUGAAGCAAAGAAUUAAGAUCUCCUGUCAACAGACAAUGAGGAAUUAAAGCCUCCUGCCAAUAGCCAACAUAAAUGGAGGCUCCUGCCAACAGCUAUGUGAAUUAUCCAUCUGAGAAGUGGACCAUCGUUUCUCAAUUAAAUCACAAAAUGAUUGAAGUGCGGGCCACCAUCUUAUCUGCAAGCUCACGAGAAAUUUGGAACCAGAACAACCCAGCAAAGCCACUCCCAAGCUCUAACUAAUGAAUAUGCCCAUAGUUAGUUACUCUUUUGUACUCUUAUCAAUCGAUACUCUCUGACUUUCAGUAAAUCUGACCCCUACCAAUUACAAUACCAGAGAGAGUAGUUUCAAGAAGCCAUCCAAAUACUGAGUUUCUUUUGCCCCUAAUAUUCUGUUACUGAUAUCUGGGAAGAAAUUCCAUAUGAUACUUUGGUCCUUAGGAGAUGCACAGGCUUAGAUAUAUGUAGAGUCCCAUUUAUAAGUAUGCACAAAAUAUUAUAACAGUCACUUUUAAUCGACCUAUACAAAAUGAAAAUCUUAGAUCAAACAUGUAUCAUACAUUUAUUAGAAUGUAUUGUGAUUAUUGAUUUGUUUAUAAGACUUCUCGUUAACUUGUAAGCUAUUUCUGGUUCCGAAAUCUAUUGGAAAAAUGUAAUAGAUACAGAGAAUCAUGGGGCUCAGUAAAAAGCAUCCUAUUAAUAUUAUAUCAAUUGAUCGCAGAGUCCUAACUCCUGUGAAUGUGUGCUUGUAAGUUUGAAAUAUACACAAGAUCAGGUCACUACCAGAAAUCAGGAAACCAAGAGUCUUAAGAGGCAGAAUAAAUACUGAAGGACAAACAGUAGGACAAAUGGAGAAAACAGACAACUAGCCAAAAUCAAACUUUUUCAGGCAUCUUAGAGAAGAAGUAGAACAAGAAAAUGGAAAAUCACCAAGUGAUCUAGAGGUAUGUUUGAAAUGAUUAUCUCUCAUCUGCAUUUUGAAGCCAACAUUUAAAGAGAAUCUUGUGGCUGUUGUAUGAUGAGACAUUCUAAAACAUUUUCUAGAAAUGAAUUUAAUUUUUGACUGACUCAUGCAUAUCAGUUCAGAUAAAAUAGGAGUGUAGUAUUUAUCCUCUAUUUUCUAGUUCCAAUGGUGGAAAUUUUGCAAAUCCACCUUGUGUACUAAUAAUAUUCAGUCUCAGUACUUCCCAUACCUGAUAAUUUCUCAAGACAAGGUGAAUCAUGAUAACUUUUCUCUGCAGUGAUAGCUAAAAGGUGACUCUGCAUCAUAAUUUCUUAGUAGGACUCAAUGUAAAACUUACCUAUUUCUCUAGAAAAAUCUCAAGAAAAUGGAGCAUCUUAAGCCACACUUCGCCACCUAAAUUCACUGGCUCAAAACCACAGUGGUAGAGUUGCAUAGUGGUGAGAGAUCAUAUGGCCAGAAAAGCCUCAAACAUUUGCUAUCUGGCUCUUUGUAGAAGACAUCUGUUGAUCAUUGAUACAAAGUAAUGAAAAGGUUCUAUAAGCCACAUAUGAAAAUGCAAUAUCAAAGUAAAACCCAAUAUUCAUGAUAAUUGGUGAUUGGCUCCUGUGUUUUAGCCAGACUCAUUCUCCAAUGACGGCAGUCUAAAAUUUGUUAUUGUUUGUUUGUUUGUUUAUUCUUCUAUGCGAGGGUGGGAGAGUUGAAAAUGAGAGUCCUGGUGAUUAUUUGGAACUUUCUCAGCCCAUGACAAUUGUUCACGUUGUAUGGAAUCAGUCAACUCCCCACCUAUUAAGAAAAUAUCACUCUCCCCCCCACCUUUUUUUUUUUACAAUAACUGGUAGAAAGCUGACUGAAAAUACUAUUUUUUUUAAUUACUCUAGUAACAAUACAUCCCACAUUUUCUAUGAAUAGAAUCCACUUACAUUUUAAGACAGAAUUUUACUAAACUUUGUUGUUUUAUUUUAUAUAAGAUAUUCAGAAUAAAAACCUGAAAAAUAAUAUAAUUUCCAGAAUGAAGACGAGUUUUCUGAUAUGAUAAAGGAGAACUGAUUAUAUGGAAUUAAAGAUUUACUUCUCAGUCAUAAGAACAUGUCUGGAAGUAUUGUGUAGGUUAAUAUUCAUUUGUCAUAUUAACAAAGACACUAAUUUUCCAAGUUGCAUAGAAAUCCUGAGGUAUGAGGUAAACACAAAACAGCAUUUGAUGAAAAAAUGUUAUAUGUCCCCUAUGAUUUUCAUCUACGGAGUCAUUAAUUAAGUCGGAUGGUAUGAAGCAGUGGUAUCAGACCUGAGAUAAAACUUGUUGAGAAACAAGCAUCUUCCUUUGUGGAAAAAAUACCAGACAUUUAAAAUCACAAAAGCUGAGACUGAUAGACCGCUGCUUUUGAGGAAUAUAAAUUUUCCUUGUCUCUCCCAGCCUCUACAAAUAUAAAUGUGGUCAUUAUCAGAAUGUGUUUCCUGUUCUAAGCUUCAGACUCUUAAACCCAACUGCCUAUUUUCUAAAGGACAUCUUUAAAUAAACAUAACCAAAACUAAAUAUUUCAUUCCUUUAUAUCUCUUAAGCCUGGUCCAGUCUUCUAUUUUACUCUAAACUGUACCAGUAUUCACCCAAUUGCUCAAAUCAAGAAAGACAAAAACGAACACUUAUGUAUUACCUUUUGAUUUCUCCUUUUUUAAAAAAAAAAACCCACAUCUAAUAUAUCGAUAUAUCCUAAUUGUUCUACCUACAAAGUAUUUUUGAAUCUGUCUGCUUCUCUCAAACUCAGGAUCAUAAUCAUAGUCAAUGUCAUCAUUGUCUCUUCCUCAGAACGCUGAAAACCUACUUAUCUAUUUAGACUCCCUCCUUUCCAUCUUUGUCUCCCACCACUCCACCGUCUACACAGGAAGCAGAGUAAUCUUUUUGAAAUAUAAAACAAAUCACAUUACUAUCCUGUUUAAAAUGGCUUCUUACUGCUUUUAUACUAUAAAAUCUAUAUUAUUAGCCAUGGCUUACAUCUUGAGUUGAUCUUACCACCACAAACACAUUCUCUUAUGCUACUCUACCCUCCCUAAUUCUGAUCUUCCUAAUUCUGAAAGAAACUGAAAGACACCAUGCAUUCUUCCAUAUCAGACCCUUUAUAUAAAUAUCUACUGAUCCUUGUAUUUAGAAUGGCCAACCCAUGAUCUUCAUAUUUUCACUAGGCUGAUUCCUUCUUAAGCUUUUAAGUCUUACCUUAAAUUUGGUGCACUCAGAGAGGCUUUCUGACCAUGCCCUCAAAGGCAGUGGCUUACUCACUGAGUGAUUGUUCUCUUUUCCCUAUUGUUUUAUUGUUUAGCUCCUUUAUAGUACAUGAUAUCCACCGUUAAGUAUUCUGUUGAUUUAUAUACAUAUAUAUCCUGUCUCUCUCUAAAUUGGAAGAUCCAUCCGGGCAAGAACCAUAUCUAUUUCCUUCAACUUUGUAUCUCCUAUACCUUAUAUGCCACCUGGGAUAUCUAAAACAUUCAAAUGUGUUUGGUAUGUGAAUAAAUACGAAUUAGGCUCCAAGUUUAAUUUGUCGUUAAUUAGUAUGAAAUAUAACACAGAGCCUUGCACACAUUCAUCUGGUGUGGAGUGAAAGGAAUUUGUUUAUAUGUGGAAAAUGCUGUAAUCAUAUUUUAAAUAUGCU